rnacentral:rRNA from 1 species
GUAGUCUGCAACCCGACUACAUGAAGCUGGAAUCGCUAGUAAUCGCGGAUCAGAAUGCCGCGGUGAAUACGUUCCCGGGUCUUGUACACACCGCCCGUCACACCAUGGGAGUUGGUAACGCCCGAAGCCAGUGACCCAACCGGAAACGGAGGGAGCUGUCGAAGGUGGGACCGAUAACUGGGGUGAAGUCGUAACAAGGUAGC